CCGACCUUAGCUCAGUUGGAAGAGCACAAGACUGUAAUUGCAAAGACCUGCGAAUCCGCCUUCAUCUUGGGGUCGCCUGUUCGAACCAGGCAGGUCGGA